GUCUAGUACAAAGUAUGUUUUCAACAUAUAUUUGGUAGGUGCUUAAUUCCGAAUGGAAGUGGCUCAGUGGGUGGAGAAGUAACAAGAGGAGAUCAGAGGAGUGUAUUCAUCAUAGUCACCCUGAACCGCUUUAUGGAGCAGGUAGGUAACUGCAAUGCUUGGAGCAUUUUUUGGCACUAUAGUGUUAUGCCGAGAAACGCAUGCCUGCCGAGAAUUGCAUGCCCUAUCGCGGGAACGCGCAUCGCUCUAAACUCUCUCAUAUUGAUGACCGAAGAGGCAUCCGUUUCUCGGCAUAACACCAGCGCACCCCUGCGAUUUGAUGAAUGAAUCCCUCCCCGGCCCUCUCGCCGCCCACUAACAGUGAAAUCUUGCACAGAGAAACUUGUGGAACUGGAUAGUUUCUUUCUGUUUUGCAUACUGAAGUUACCAUUUUCUACCGAGGUGGCUGCUUCCUUGUUCCCUGCGCAUUUACAGCGGAUUACAAACCUCAACCUGAAGAACCAGUUUUAUGCUGUAUUGGACCAACAUGCCUCCCAGCUCCAGAGCUUAUUUAGGAAGAAAGCUGCUUCCACUGGAAAAGUGAAUGAUGUUCUGUCUCAGCUGAGAACCCAUGAUGUCUAGUGUAAGGCCACCAAAAAGGAUCUCCUAGGGACCAAUCUGGGGGAACUGAAUAGAGAUGGUGGUCUCCCUAUUCAAAAAGAGGGUCUGCAGACUGUGUUCCAGCUACAGAGAGAUCACACUCUUUAGCCUCCCUAUGAAUGUCUGAUUAGAGAUUCUGAAGAGGAGGAUCCGUUGGAUAGUCAAACCUCAGAUUCAGGAAGAGCAGUGUGGUUUUUGUCCUUGUGGAAGACUGAAUCAGCUCUACACCCUCAGCAGGUUCCUGGGUGACACAGGCAUAUUGGUGUGGCGUCUACAGUGAAGCGAGCACUGUACCGGUCUGUAGUGGUGAAGAGAGAGCUGAGUCAAAAGGCGAAUCUCUAGAUUUUCUGGUCAAUCUUCUUUCCUACCGUCAUCCAUGGUCAUGAACUUUGGGACCUGACCGAAAGAUUACAGAUGCAAUUGGCUGAAAUGAGUUUUCUCCUCAGGGUUAUCAAGCGUCUCUGGAACUCAUUACCUUUCCAACUCAGAAAAAUCGAUUCACUCUCCUCCUGUAACAAAUCACAACUCAAAACACAUUUGUUCAAAAUGGUUUUUCUACCUGAUGCCUUUUGCUCUUUCUAUCUUAGUAAUUUUAUUAUUGUAUUGUAUAUUUUAAUAAACUGUUGUAUUUUG